rnacentral:rRNA from 1 species
GUACACUCCUACGGGAGGCAGCAGUGGGGAAUAUUGGACAAUGGGCGAAAGCCUGAUCCAGCAAUGCCGCGUGAGUGAUGAAGGCCUUAGGGUUGUAAAGCUCUUUUACCCGGGAUGAUAAUGACAGUACCGGGAGAAUAAGCCCCGGCUAACUCCGUGCCAGCAGCCGCGGUAAUACGGAGGGGGCUAGCGUUGUUCGGAAUUACUGGGCGUAAAGCGCGCGUAGGCGGCUUUGUAAGUUAGAGGUGAAAGCCCGGAGCUCAACUUCGGAAUUGCCUUUAAGACUGCAUCGCUAGAAUCGUGGAGAGGUGAGUGGAAUUCCGAGUGUAGAGGUGAAAUUCGUAGAUAUUCGGAAGAACACCAGUGGCGAAGGCGACUCACUGGACACGUAUUGACGCUGAGGUGCGAAAGCGUGGGGAGCAAACAGGAUUAGAAACCCGGGUAGUCC